CGGGACGGGUGAGUAACACGUGAGCAACCUGCCUUUCAGUGGGGGACAACAGUUGGAAACGACUGCUAAUACCGCAUAACGUGCCGGAAGGGCAUCCUUUUGGUACCAAAGAUUUAUCGCUGAAAGAUGGGCUCGCGUCUGAUUAGAUAGUUGGUGAGGUAACGGCCCACCAAGUCGACGAUCAGUAGCCGGACUGAGAGGUUGAUCGGCCACAUUGGGACUGAGACACGGCCCAAACUCCUACGGAAGGCAGCAG
rnacentral:rRNA from 1 species